GAUGAACGCUAGCGGCAGGCUUAAUACAUGCAAGUCGAGGGGCAGCAUGACUGUAGCAAUACAGUUGAUGGCGACCGGCAAACGGGUGCGGAACACGUACAGAACCUUCCUUCGCGCGGGGCAUAGCCCAGAGAAAUUUGGAUUAAUACCCCAUAGUACAACGGACUGGCAUCACUUUGUUGUUAAAGAUUAAUCACUUGAAGAUGGCUGUGCGGCUGAUUAGGUAGUUGGCGGGGUAACGGCCCACCAAGCCUGCGAUCAGUAACUGGUGUGAGGGCACGACCAGUCACACGGGCACUGAGACACGGGCCCGACUCCUACGGGAGGCAGCAGUAAGGAAUAUUGGUCAAUGGACGAAAGUCUGAACCAGCCAUGCCGCGUGGAGGAUGAAGGUCCUCUGGAUUGUAAACUUCUUUUAUAUGGGACGAAAAAAGGGUUUUCUAACUCGUCUGACGGUACCAUAUGAAUAAGCACCGGCUAACUCCGUGCCAGCAGCCGCCGUAACAC
rnacentral:rRNA from 1 species